GGGGCGGAACUGCGUCUCCGGCGUCGUUUCCGGGCGAGUGAAAGCCGUGGGUCUGUAGGUGCCGGCUCUGCGACUGGCCUGGGGAGUGCGCGGCUGGCGUCUGCGGGGGCGAGCAGUGCUCCAGGCACGGUUGGGUCUGUCGGGCUAGCGCCUUCCGGUGCCAUGUGGCCCUGGGCUCCGCGGGAACGCAAGGUGCUCCCAGUCCUGUAAAGGGAUAUGGCCUCGCCCUUCUGCAGAGGAUUAAGGUCACCCAGAGCGGCAUUCAUAGCCGGGUCCAAUCAAUCAUACCAGCCGAGGACGGUUGUUGGGCAUUGGCCAAAGGCGUGGGGAUCUUCUAUGGACACAGAAAAACAUUGACCUGGAGAGAUUAUAGCAUCACUGGUGUCACAAGUCAAAAAAAAUUAUCCUGUGCAUGUUCUCAGCCCCCCUCCUGUCCCUUCUUUUCCCUUCCCCUCAAGAGAAGCUUCUGUGAUGUGUUCCAUUUCCCUCCUCCUGCCUGCUCUCACGGAGGAAGAACCGGUGUUUGGCUGGUGAGAGGGUAAGCUCCCCUCCGUUAUAAAGGGAUGGAGUGAGAGGGAGAUUUUUAAAACUACUCAAGCAGCAUCUUGAAAAAGAUUUAAGGGUUUUGAAGAGAAGUUUCUGAAACAGCCACAGGCAGAGUGUGAGGACAAUCUAGAGCAGAGAAAUGAAUCUUGGAGGGGGUGGUGAAUGGGCCUCCUUUAAUGUUCUUAGAGAACUCCAAGAACCUACGCUGCUAUUUGAUAACUACUGGCCUUUGCCUUUGAAUUGAUGCUCAGAGACCAUGUGGGCUCCCGGUUUAUGAGGUUGAUGGUGUGGCAUAGGGGUUAAAUGUCAAGAUCGGGUGUCAGACUCUCUGGAUUCAUUUCUGACCUUGGAUAAAUUACUUCACAUCUCUGGACUUUAGCUUCCUACUCUGUGAAGUGGAGCCAAUAGGACCUUUCCCUUGGAGUUGUUAAAGGAGAAAAUCCACAUAAGAUUCUUAGCACAAUGCCUGCCUUGUAGUAAGCACUCAAAGUAUCAUCCUUACUUUAAAGUAGUUGUUGGAACAGGGGAUGGGGGGCUAAGAUGCUCCUUUUAGGUAUCUGGUUUCCAUUUUUGGUGAGAGGAGUGGGUGGGGCAUAUAACAAGCUUUGGAUGCCUGCCCAGCAUCCUCAAGCCAUCAUCAUUAUCGACAUCGGCACCUUCGUUGUAUAACAUGGUGGUAAAGGUGGCAGAGGGGAUCCUUCCUCAAUCCUGGGGACCACAGGUGAGAACAAAAGUGCUAAGAACCCCCGCAAUCUAAGUUCAGAGAACCCCCCAGCUGUGGGGAUGGCCACGUCUCCUCUCCCCGACCUCCGGCAUUUUUGGAAGGUCUCAGUUCAGCCGAAACAGGAGCCCUGCUCCUCUCCCUUUCCCACCCAGGAAGGACCACUCUCCAAGUUCUUAGAUCCUGAGAUGUGCUGAAGCUGAGUCCCAAGCCAGGUCAGCCCUCAGGACCAGCAGAAGGCCCCCCAAAGUUGUC